ACCAAGGAUAUUGGCCGCCAAGGAUUGAGGGAAGGGGCAAGUCUUGCAGAAGUGGUUCGGGAAGUAAAGCCAGAUGUACUCCUUGGAUUAUCUGCUGUUGGGGGUUUGUUUUCUAAGGAGGUAUUAGAAGCACUUAGAGGGUCAACUUCAACAAGACCAGCAAUAUUUGCAAUGUCAAAUCCCACAACC